CUAAGACAUCAGGCUGCAAGAAAUGCUUUGUAGCACGAAGAGCAUCAUGGAAUUGCUCAGGGAAGCACACCUCUGGUACCAGCCUGUAUCUACAAAAGAAGCAGAGAGGGAAUCAUAGGGAUGUGGUUCAGCCUUCCUUCAGGAGAAAAACCAAUGCUGACGAUACACUAAUGUUUAUAGCUGCUGCUAAGCAGUGCUGUACAGAGCCAAGGCCAUUCUCAGUGAAGGGCCCAAGGAGCUGUGAGGGAACAGAAUUAGGACAGCUGACUUAAACUGGCCAAAGGGCCACGCCAUAACAUAUGACAUUGUGAGGAAGGAGUUCUGAAUGGUUUGGAGUUCAUCUCUCUUCCCCUGCUUGGACGGCUUGGGCACUGGUUGGUGGCUGUCCGCAUCCUGAUAAGAUAUAUGUUUUUCCAGUGGAUUCAUUGUAUACUUCUAUUGUGAUUCCAUACAUCUGCUCCACCAGAAUGGAGAUGGUGACUAUUCCAGUUACUCUCAAAGAGAAGGGACAGCUAGCAGAAAAACACCACUGCUGCCAACACAUCCUCCAGAGGAAAAGCAAGUUUUGAAGCACCUCCUAUCAACUGAGAUCUCCUCCCAUGAAUCCCUGUCCUUACGUGUGGCUUUGAAACCCACUACGGUUAGUUUAAAUGUGAACAAACAAAUGCAUAUGACUCAGCUUUCAGUAGAUGCUGUGUGAAUAAGACCCCAAGGCAGCCUCCAUUCCACUGCAGACUUCUGUGGAAAGCAGAUUUUUCCCCAAAGGGUCUCUGACUGCCAAGUACAAUGGAGCAGUAAUGUCAGUGGGGAGAAAGGAAUCCAUUUCCAAAACAAAAAUAUACAGAAAUUUCUUUUCCUGCUUGGCUUGCAGUAAGGUUACCCUGCUGAAAUAGUUUGGUGAGAACCCAAAUCUUGAUAUGUUUGUUGCUUUUGUUGAUGGAUUAACGUUUCUACAUAAUUAAGGUCUUAUCUCUGGGAGUAAAAAACAUGAGUGUCCACCCAGUGGGCAGAAAUGUUGAACUCACAAGACUGUACCUUUGAACAUCACACCGUUACUUAAGAAUCUCCAUAGGAAAACACCAUUCAAGACUGAAACUUGAAGAGCAACACACCCAUUAAUAAUCUGGCAUUCAGUUUACUGGGCUGCCACUGAUUCACCCAUCAAACGAUCUUCUAUGUGCUCUAUUGAGGUUCCCAGGGAAGGUAACUAAUGGGAAAUAGUGCCAGGCAAAACCAUCAUCUUUGUAGAUUUUUUUCAGGCUGACUGUGCUGCAAAAGGCCAUUUCUCCACAUUCUCUGUAGACAUGAUUACCACAUGUUCCCUGGAAUCAGAACUGUUUUCUUUUCAAGGCUAGUUGCAGCUGUUUACUGAGAAGUGUUUUGCCCUGUGUUUUUUUUUUUAAUCCACAGAACACCACGGCCCUCUGCAGGUUUAUCAGUUGCUUUCAUGCCUUUUCUCUGCAAUAGGCCGCCCUUUCCAAGAACAAAAAAAUCAAAAAAUAAAAUAACAUGGAAGAGAUGCCUCCUACACCGAGGCACAAAAGGAACAGCAAUAGUUCUUUCAUGUUUACAUCGUCAGGUUUCUCUGCCCAGGACUUACAAGCAUAUUCUUUGCAAGUGUAUCUAAUCAAUUUGGUUGUUAUUUACAACAAUCGGGAUUAUGUUUUUUGCUGGUAAAGAGAGUUCAGCCUUGUUCAGUGUUCCUAUAAACAAAAUUCCUAUGUAAGAAAGUAUCUUGUGUGUAUGUUUGUAUGUAAUGGUUGAUAAUCUCAUCCAGGGCUGAGCUGCAGUCACAGAGUCAAAGAAUCACAGAAUAUCCUAAGUUGGAAGAGACCCACAAGGAUCACUGACUCCAACCCUUGGCUCUUUACAGGAUCACCUAAAAUUCUAACCAUACAAACACUUUCAUUUGCUAAACAGGUAACCUGAAGAAAUGUGGCUGGUGAACUUCAUGAGGAUGAGUAAUGGAGCUGACGCUCCCAGUGAGCUUAGCUGCUAUGGAGCAGGACAGACCUGCAUGUGCAGGAGGACAAGUAUGGCAAAUGUGAGUUUCUCGCUGGUGUUUGAGCCACUUCAGAAAAUAACCACCAUGCACAGACUGCAGCACACUUACUGGUAAUCUGUCACCCAGUUCUGACUGCAGCUUUUCAUUUUGGGGCUGCUGGCACUCUAAUCUAUGGCUGCUUUGGUAGGCACCAUGACCUCCCCUUUGAUCAAUCUAAAUUGGUGGGAUUCUUCUGGUGGUAGCUUAGGGUUGCUUGGGAUUCUUUAUGAUCCCUUUAUGAAGAACCCCAAGCGAUCACUGUGAUUAUGCUUAGCCCCUCUUUCACAGACUUGUACUGUGCAUCAGUCAUUACAGAAAAAACCCCACCAAAGCAAACAAACAAAAUAAACAGAAAAGCUGUAUUUCUGUUGCCCAUUUCUAAAUUUCUAAUAUUCUCGAAUGGCACUCAGCAUAUCAGGAUUGAGGUGACACUGUCCUAACUGCAAUGUGAGCUAUCCAACUAUACAAACCUCUGACCUUUAGCCUUGAAAUGACUGCAACGGGUUGCAUUCAGAUGGCACACAAAGGCAGCUCGCCAAGCUGAAUACAUCAGCUGCUUCCUUCAGUGCCUUUGCAGCAGUGAGAUGCCAGGUCCUGCUCUGACCUUAGCUGAGAUCAGGAACUGAGAGUCAGCUUCAGCUGUUUGCCUUUUUACAUGAGGCACUGCUCAGGACUGAGCCAAGUCUCAUGUGUGACUCACGGGGUAACGAUGCUGACACUGGGCGGCUGAACCUCUUAAGACUUAAUUUCCUACCUUUAGAAGAUGCUGCUGCUCCUGGAUGACAUUAUACUCAGUUCAGGCAACGUUUUGCAAAACACACUGCUGUAACAUUACAGUCCUAAAUGCCACCUACAGCAUCUGUAGACAGUGAGAGACUAGCAAAAAAAAAUAAACAGGCUCAUUUCCCCAUCUUACCGUGCGCAGAAUACAUUGGUCUGACUGCAUUUGAGGAAGUUUAUCCCAUCUAAAGAUUAACCUCUAUUUUCUUCCAUUUUACAGAGCCAUUUCUUAGAACAGGUGCAUUACUGCACAGUACCUAACAUGUACUUUUGAUAACUGUUAUACAGAGUCUUCCAGGACUCAAAGAUAAGUGCUCUAAUUUCCUUUAUUACAUGAAGGCCGUUUUACAGUUUAUCAACUAGGAGAAGCUCUAUUAUUUUUUCAUUGUCAGGUUUCAUUCUUACACCUAUUCAUCCACGAUGAACUGCUUUUAGACCAGACAGCCAAUAACUUUUGUCUCUACAGCAAACAAGACUUGUAGCAUAUCUGUUCUUACUUAUGUGCCAUAGUGGAUUAAUGUAAACCAGUUUGUGUCCUUACAUGCAAAAAUAUCAGCUUACUUGGAUGGCCAAAACUACAAUUUACAUCUCUCCAUAUAUGGGUAGGUAGAUUAAAUAUUAAAAUGUUAGAUGGAACUAAUUACUGUUUUCUCUGCUCCUGUAUGUUGAUGUCCCAUGCCCUAGAUUUUAUUCAAAAAGGAUGCAUCAGAAUAGCAAAUACCUUGAUAGAGUGGUUCAGUAAUAACUUAAAUCAAAGGGAUUGUUAUAUAAACAUAUGCUGCUCUCUUUACUCCAAGAAGGGAGAAUGGUAAUGAGGAGAAGUGAGAGAUGCCCCUAUCAAUCCUGCUGUUAGCAGAAUUAUGACAAGCUGCUUUAGGCACUUCUUGACAGAUACCAUGUAAAACAAUUCUAAUGGUUCAAUUUACUGCUCAGUCCUCUAAUCCCAGGUAUAUCUCUGUGGCUGUCCAAUUAUCAAUGAAGCCGAGUUCUGACAGUCUUAUAUACAUGUGUGUUCACUAUCUCUCAUUUCUGACCUAAAACUUCUGUGUAACAUUAGUUUUCUAUGAAACUGUGGCCAAGUCUCAUUUUGAGACAGGUGAGGACAUUAUUCUAAGUUAAACACUUGUGCACCAAUUUGUUAAUAACAUGAAGCUGCAGAUUCUGAUUUCAUUCUGAAAGCAGCACAGCACACUUAGCACAGGAAUAAGGCUCUGAACCUCCAGCUCUGGUAUUUUUAGUGACCUCAAAUAAGGCACUUUGUCUGUAUUUCCCCCAAAUUAAGAUUAAGACAAUGGCACCGGCUCCCUUCUGUAAUAUGUUUUGAAACCUACUUAUGAAAACUGCCCUAUAAGCAUUAUGCAUUUUUAGCCACUUGAUAAUACAUAAACACUUGAAGGGUUUUGCACUGAUCCAGGGCACUGAGUCAGUCCCAGCCCCGUGAAGGAAUUUCAUGAGCUGCCUGGGACAAAACUCUAUGCAGAAAUGCAGCACCUUAUUAUUAGUACACUGAAAAGCAGUGCCAGCUUCAGUGUGUUUUACUGGUAGUGUUUAUAAGAGGAGUGAGAGAACAAGCACAUAAUCCCUAACAAGAAGUUGUCUUCUCGACUGCCAGAGUCAGCACAAAUCUAUUUCAGAAUAGGGAAACAACUGUAUUUAGAGCACAUAAAGUUUGUUUCAUGCUUUGGCAAGAGGGAUUUUAGUGUACUUUGGAGGUUAGAAAAUAAAAAUCACUUAGUAACGUACUUCUGUCUGCUAUCAAACACCUACAAAGGAAAGUAAUAAAUAGCAAGCUGAAAAUACAUUCAGAAGUAGGUGAAAGUUCAAUGGUCACAUUUAGAGCAUCGUUAAAUCAUUUGGUCUCGCAACCUCCGGUAGGCAAAGAAAAAGGAAGCUCAGCUCUACAGAAGGACAUACACUUGAUUUUAUAGAUACACACUAAAGCUGUCUACCAAAGUAAGUACUCAGGCUUAACUCCUACAAUCUUAGCUUCAGUUCACACAGUUCAUUCUUAAUGGUAGACACUUAUUCCUGACUUUGUGCAACAUCUCAGUGUUGGAAAGACUUCUAAACACUUAGAGAGCAGCUCAUUUUGCUCUCUCUGGAAAGAAAACCCCAAAGAUUACCUGUUUGGUGGCUCAGGGCACCGCUAAUACCUCACUGAUGCUUUAUGCUUGUCUAAAAGCCACUCGUUCCUUCUUGUGUUUUGUAAGCUGCCCAUGUCUGAUAUUUAAUAAAUUUCCCUUGCUAUAUGUAGUCAUCAUAUUUCUAAGGCCACAGAUGGGAACAGCUGUCUAACAAGGUACCACUUGCCCCUAACAGGGAUAGAGACAGAUGUGGGCAUCUCAGUGCUGCCAGUUUGCUCCAGCUGCCACCAGGGCAGGUUGUGUUCUGCCACCUCCCCAGGGAGAAGAACCUCAGGAUGCCCCAGAAUGGAUGAGAUUGACCCCACCUUCCAACCUGGAGACAAUGAGACUCAUCCAGCUAUGCCUCGCAAACCACAAGCAAACAGAAUGUGUACAUAAGCCAAUAGCAGUAUAUAUAGAGUUAGUCACACGAUUUUCUAAAGAUAGGUCUCCUUCAGCUAGAGGUUAUGGACUUGAUUCAGGUGUUCCUGGAAGAAAGGUUAGCAUGUGUUCUGCAGGCAGGACGCUGUGACCAUACAGCCCUUCCAGUUGUUAAACUUCCAGCUCCAUUGGAAAGGUAUGUGUUGUUAUUUUAGUUACCAGCACACAGCAAGUGCAUGUCAAGCCUCAGCUUUUUAAUGGAAAACUUGUACUGUUGUAUUUUAUGCCUACAUAAUUUCCCUGUCAUAGCGGCAUCAUUUCUUUAAGGGAGAGUAAAUAAGCAAAAAGCUUUAUUCAUUCACA